rnacentral:rRNA from 1 species
UACGUAGGGGGCAAGCGUUGUCCGGAUUUAUUGGGCGUAAAGCGCUCGCAGGUGGUUCAUUGCGUCGUGCGUGAAAGCCCCCGGCUCAACUGGGGAGGGUCGUGCGAAACGGGUGAACUAGAGGGCAGUAGGGGGAUGCGGAAUUCCGGGUGUAGUGGUGGAAUGCGUAGAGAUCCGGAGGAACACCAGCGGCGAAGGCGGCAUCCUGGACUGGUCCUGACACUCAGGAGCGAAAGCGUGGGGAGCGAUCCGG